CGGAGGUAGUUCGGGGAGACGAGGUGGUGCAGUGGUUGUCGUCAGCUCGUGUCGUGAGAUGGUUAGGGUUAACGUCCCGUAACGAGCGCCAACCCUUGUCCUUAGUUACCAGCACGUUAUGGUGGGCACUCUAAGGAGACUGCCGGUGACAAACCGGAGGAAGGUGGGGAUGACGUCAAGUCAUCAUGGCCCUUACGGCCUGGGCUACACACGUGCUACAAUGGUCGGUACAAAGGGUUGCCAAGCCGCGAGGUGGAGCUAAUCCCAUAAAACCGAUCGUAGUCCGGAUCGCAGUCUGCAACUCGACUCCAUGAAGUUGGAAUCGCUAGUAAUCGUGGAUCAGCAUGCCACGGUGAAUACGUUCCCGGGCCUU
rnacentral:rRNA from 1 species